rnacentral:misc_RNA from 1 species
UCCGGUUUGUCACCGGCAGUCUGGCGUGAGUCCCCAACUUAAUGCUGGCAACACGCCACGGGGGUUGCGCUCGUUGUGGGACUUAACCCAACAUCUCACGACACGAGCUGACGACAGCCAUGCAGCACCUGUGGCACACCCUCGAAGGUCACACGUUUCCGUGCGCUUGCAGUGCCAUGUCGAGUCCAGGUAAGGUUCUUCGCGUUGCAUCGAAUUAAAGAACAUGCUCCGCUGCUUGUGCGGGCCCCCGUCAAUUCCUUUGAGUUUCAGCCUUGCGGCCGUACUCCCCAGGCGGGGCACUAGUCGCGUUAGCUUGGCCACGGAAGGGCUCGAUCCCCCCCGCGGCGAGUGCCCAUCGUUUACCGCGUGGACUAC